CCUACGGGAGGCAGCAGUGGGGGAUAUUGGACAAUGGGGGGAACCCUGAUCCAGCGACGCCGCGUGAGUGAAGAAGUAUCUCGGUAUGUAAAGCUCUAUCAGCAGGGAAGAAGAAAUGACGGUACCUGAGUAAGAAGCCCCGGCUAACUACGUGCCAGCAGCCGCGGUAAUACGUAGGGGGCAAGCGUUAUCCGGAAUUACUGGGUGUAAAGGGAGCGUAGACGGUGAUGUAAGUCUGGAGUGAAAGGCGGGGGCCCAACCCCCGGACUGCUCUGGAAACUAUGUGACUGGAGUGCAGGAGAGGUGAGCGGAAUUCCUAGUGUAGCGGUGAAAUGCGUAGAUAUCAGGAGGAACACCGGUGGCGAAGGCGGCUUACUGGACCAUAACUGACGUUGAGGCUCGAAAGCGUGGGGAGCGAACAGGAUUAGAUACCCUUGUAGUC
rnacentral:rRNA from 1 species